UACAGAGGGGGCAAGCGUUGUUCGGAAUUACUGGGCGUAAAGGGCGCGUAGGCGGCCUGCUAAGUCGAACGUGAAAUCCCCGAGCUCAACUCGGGAACUGCGUCCGAUACUGGCAGGCUUGAAUCCGGGAGAGGGAUGUAGAAUUCCAGGUGUAGCGGUGAAAUGCGUAGAUAUCUGGAGGAAUACCGGUGGCGAAGGCGGCAUCCUGGACCAUUACUGACGCUGAGGCGCGAAAGCUAGGGGAGCAAACGGG
rnacentral:rRNA from 1 species